UACGUAGGGUGCAAGCGUUAAUCGGAAUUACUGGGCGUAAAGCGUGCGCAGGCGGUUUUGGAAGUCUGUCGGGAAAUCCCCGGGCUCAACCUGGGAAUUGCGAUGGAGACUGCAAGGCUAGAAUCUGGCAGAGGGGGGUAGAAUUCCACGUGUAGCAGUGAAAUGCGUAGAGAUGUGGAGGAACACCGAUGGCGAAGGCAGCCCCCUGGGUCAAGAUUGACGCUCAUGCACGAAAGCGUGGGGAGCAAACAGG
rnacentral:rRNA from 1 species